AUGAGCCUUUGUCUUCUGCAAACUCCCGCGUAUAUACCAGUUUUCAAAAGCAAUUUGUUGGUGCACAGAAGGAAAUCUGGCAGGCUCUGAUUGUAUCCCUGCAGAAUCUAUUGGUUGAUCUUUGCGUUUCCUUCUUUCUGUUUUUCUUUUCAGGUCAAUGCUAGUGUUGCCCGUGGCUCUUCAGGAGGGGAGGCUGUGAACAAGGCUGCAGCAGAGGGAGCUUUGCCUGCUUGCGGGAGCCGUGUGAACGUUUGCCAGGAGCCCGAGGAGCUUGAUAUCCAUGUGAUCUACCUGGCCAGAAGGGCUGCCCUGCGUGGGAAGAAGGAUCAGAGGGAGAGCCUGUGACCAUCGGGCAGGUGGCAUCCCUCUGUUUAUAGAUAUAGUUAUAGAUUUUUUUAUCAUUAUUUAUUUAUCGAUAUAGUUACCAGUGUAGAUUGAUAGAGUUGUAUUUAUAGGUGUUUCUAUUUAUACAUCUGUAUAGUUUUUAUCUGUAGUUAGUUAUGGAUGCUAUAGGAUUUUAUUUCUAUGUAUACAGUUAGAUUUAUAGAUUUUCAAAUAUGCAUUUAUAUAUGUAGAGAGUAACAUUUCUAUGUGCACGCAGUUACAUUCCUAAAUGUGCAUAGUUCUUUAAUUAGAGCGAUGUGGAUGUAGAGCUCCAUAGAUUGAGCUGUGUAGGCUGCAUUUUUGCCUCUUUCCCCCUUGGCUGCCUUUUUCAUCUCUUGUUUUUCCCGCUGUGCCCCUUGUGUCCCCCUGUGCUGGGUCCGAGCUGGGGCCGGGCCAGGCGGAGCAGCAGUUGCAGCCCUGGCUGUCCCUGGAGCAGUGGGAGCUGCCGCUGGCCCCAGGCACUGUCCUGUGAGGAGCUGCUGAAGGACGCUGAGACUGAGGGGGCUGAGGAGGCGCUGAUGCUGAAGGGACCUUGCAAACCUUGAGCUGUCCUGAAGAGCUUGAGGAGAGCCAGACACUGAGAGGAGCCAGCAGGGAGAAGCUGAAGGCCUGGAGCAAGAGCAGUGAGCAGGGAUGUGCUGGGGCCACGCGAGAGCCUGGAUGUCCCAUCUGCUGUCCCUGUCCAGGAGAGCUGCUCUGCAUGGCAGGAAAAGACUGAGGGAGAGGCUUUG